GACGAACGCUGGCGGCGUGCCUAAUACAUGCAAGUCGAGCGGACUAAGAUGGAACUUGUUCCAUCUCGGUUAGCGGCGGACGGGUGAGUAACACGUAGGCAACCUGCCUGCAAGCCUGGGAUAACUGCGGGAAACCGCAGCUAAUACCGGAUACGCAGUCGACAUGCAUAUCUUGACUGGGAAAGGCAGAGCAAUCUGUCGACUGUAGAUGGGCCUGCGGCGCAUUAGCUAGUUGGUGAGGUAACGGCUCACCAAGGCGACGAUGCGUAGCCGACCUGAGAGGGUGAUCGGCCACACUGGGACUGAGACACGGCCCAGACUCCUACGGGAGGCAGCAGUAGGGAAUCUUCCGCAAUGGACGCAAGUCUGACGGAGCAACGCCGCGUGAGUGAGGAAGGCCUUCGGGUCGUAAAGCUCUGUUGCCAGGGAAGAAUGUCGAGGAGAGUAACUGCUCUUCGAAUGACGGUACCUGAGAAGAAAGCCCCGGCUAACUACGUGCCAGCCGCCGCGGUAAGAC
rnacentral:rRNA from 1 species